UCGUCUAGGUGUAGUUGGAUAAUAAAAUAUAAGACUUUGUAAUCACAUGAUGUGAACUGCGCGACCAGUUUACGUUAACAUGAAGAAGUAAUUAUUUUGGGCCGGUCUGCCUCGCAAUCGAACCAGAAUUUGUUACUGCAAGUUCCGAAGCGGCUAUCUGCGUGCUAAGGAAAUUGCUGACGCUUUUGUAUCCUGAGAUAUACUUGUUUGACUGGCCAGUCAAAGCUGCAAGCUGACACUUAGAAACUACAUGAGGUUGUCUCUGUCUCUUAAAUCGCAAGUUUUUAAUGAUCAAGAAGCUACGAUGGAAACCUAAAUCGUCGCGUACAGCUUAAAACUAACCCAGAGACUGGAAGAUGACUGCAUCCAUCGAAGCAAUAACAUACCCAGCGGUGGACAAUGAGCUUGGCAAAACAAGCCUCACAGAUAACAUUGUCAGCGAGCUAAGACGUCUCCGAAGUCAAGUUGGAGGACUCGUCUCAUCGUUAACAAAAGCAAAUAACAGUCAAAGUAAGUGUAUCCAGAAGACUAAGGAAACCUCCCAACACGUUAAGGCACAAAGAAGCACCAAAGCUAUCCGGAAGAAUGAGAAAAGCCAACCACAUUUGGCCUGCUCUGCAUUAGCUACAGUCGACCGAUUAACCCCUGAAAAGAUGAUUCCUUCACAAGUCUUGGACCAUGUUGCUCGAAUACUCGACGAAGCCAUUAUUUGCCAUCAGGGUGACGAUAUCGUUGGUGCCAGAAAAAGUAUAACAAAUCUUUUUACAAUGAUGGUGAUGAAUCAGGCGCAAUGCUUUGAAUUUCCCUCUAAGUAUGGCUUGAACGUUCUAGAUCGUGGAAGAAAACUUUUUCUGGAGGAGGGUGUGAGUUGUUCGAUAAAACACGGAACUUUACUUUUAGAUUCAAGUUUGAAUGGAGCGCAGUUUUACUCUGGGUUACUAAACGUCAUGGGGGCAUUUGCCUUGCUGAUUUCUGAAUUUAAAAUUGCGAAAGGAACUUUUGACCGGCUUAUCGAUCUGCAUCACCAAUCAAAUAUUACUAGUCGUUUACGUGACCUUGCUGCUGCCUACAACAAUAAGGGGUGUAUACACCUGAUCGUUGGCGAUUUGCGAGAGGCAGAAGAAGCGUUCGAAACUUCUCUUAAGUACCUUGGCAAUUCGAACGGGCCGUCAAAUGUUACAAAAGUUUUUGCUGUAAAGAGCAACAUGAGCCGGCUAAAUCUGGUUUUUAGAAAGUAUCGUCAAGCCCUCGAACAACAAGAAAAAUUAGCAGAGAGUUGCAAAGCUACAGAAAUGAAGGAAAUACCACAUCCAUUCGAAGCAGUAUUCACGGUGAUGAAUAAUCAAGCGGUAUUGCAUACUACUCUCGGCAAUUUUGACCGGGCGGAACAAGCGUUGUGGUGGCUGAUAUCUUAUUGCAAAGAAAUAAAUAGAAAAGACUCUGAAUAUCUUGUAACUUUCCUUCGUUUGCAUCUUUCUGAAGUUCUGAUCCUUCACGGAAAAUCAAAAGUGGCUGAUGAAAUGUUCAGUAUUGAGAACUUGAAUUCACUGGAGGACAUUGUGAAGAGGUUUGGAAACCUUUACAUGAAUGUAAGAAUCGAGGCACUUGAGAAGUUAUUAGAGCUCUACAUCCGUAGAGGAAAAAUCCGAGCUGCCCUUCAGCUUUUGCAAAUAACUGUAAAGAUCCUAAAAACUGUGUUCGGACCUGACCAUUAUAAUAUUGCUUCCCUGUUGUACAAACAAGGUACAAUUUUGAGCUUCACAGGAGAAGUUUCUCAAGCCGCGGAAAAAUUCAAAAUUUCGAUCGAAAUCCUGCGGAAAAUAUUUGGUGUUAAGAAUUUUCUUCUUCUCAAGUGCUACAUGUCUCUUGGUGAUGUGACAUCGAGAAUCAAUCAAGAAGGAGAGUCUUACCUUUACUUUCAAAGAGCCACUGAGAACAUAGAAGCCAUCUACCAAGUGUCAUUUGUGGAUGAGUUGAGAAUAAAGUACCUGGAAAUCACAGGAAGUUUCAAAACCUUGCAAAACCGGAAAGCGUCUGAUGAUAGAAUUGAAGGUCUUGUUGCAGAGUAUGGGCAAGGAAUAGCCUUCUGGUUAAACCACCACAGCAACUGUCAAUUAAGAAAGUGCAGAGCCAAUAGGAAACGUUUCCCUGUGAAGAACACGGAAGGUCCCCCUUCUGAGUCGACGUCGAUAGCCUUUUUCAAAUAUUCAUCCGAUUUCAUCAAGAGUGGACAAAAGCUCCUCCGUCUUGGAAUGAUUGAUGAAGCUUCCGUCUUUUUUCAAUGCGCAGAGUUGCAUUCCAGAGUACAUGCAAUCCAAGGUUAUCCAGACUUGAGUGUCGCCUACCUAAACAGCGUAUUCCUGAUGAAAAAGUUUAGAAGUCACCGAACACUGCAGCAUGGCCAUCGUUUGAGGAAGCUUUUGGGAGACCUACGCAGCGUCAUAGAAGAAAGUGGUGCUCAAAGUCCUGUCCAAAGGACCAAUGGGGUUGCGACAACGAAGGAGUCUGACUAUCAGCGAAACUUGAGGCCUGUGUUAAUUUUACUUCUUUUGUUCUCAAUAGAGCUGAAAAUGACUGAAACCACCUUUGUAGCGUACGACUUAUACUCUAAACUUUUUCAACACAAGAUCGAUUUUCCAUUUUUGCUCCUCGAUGGAAUUCAAGUUUAUGCCUCAAGAGCGACGAUCACCUGCAAUGGACAGACUGCUGUUCAAGACAUCUUGAUUUCCUCUGAAGUUGGUCUGAAUGAAAGUGACACCGACAGAGCGUCUACUGACACGAAGUUAUACCGCAGCUUGGCUUACCAGGAGAAUGCAACUGGAAAUGCUUUCUUAGUGACUGGCAGAUUACCGGUCCUUCUAGACAUCGAGGACCUUAAUACCGUGAAGGACAAAAUCUCAUUGGCAGUUCAAGAGUGUUUUCAAACGAAGUGCAUGGCAGCUGAAGCUAAAGGCGGCGCGAUGACGGUUGUCGUGGAUUUGACUCCAACGGAAAAAUGUGACCUGCAAGACAUCUUUUCUAUGGGAAGUAGAAUCGAUCUCUUACCUCUUUGUCUAUCAGAACAUCCAAGUGAUGGCAUACGGAAUAAAGAGACGUCGACUAUCUUUGAGAUGGACACAUCGAUGUAUCAGAGGAUUGUAGAGGUGACCUUUGAAGAUGAGCAAUCAAGCUCUUUCAUCUUCAAAAAUACUGCAUUGAGACUUCUUCAGCAGAAUGACGCAGGAGGUAUAUCAUCAUUGGCGCUAGCAAGUCACAGCCUUUCAAUAACGGUUCUCCAACCACGAAAAACACGGAUCAUUUUGUCACAAAGUGGAAGACAGGUCAUAGAAAAGACACAGUUCGUAUCGACAAGAAAAACAAUAAACGGAUUGGCAGCCUCGAAUGGUACGUUUGAGACUUCUGUUCUUGAUGUGCUCCCUUUGCCUGAAAUUCAUCAGGCAAUUGAAAAGUAUGGAGUGCCGUGUCUACAAAGAACUUUAUCGAAAAUUUAUUGGGAACAAUCAUCCACACCCUGUGAAACCAACAGCACCUCGAAUCACGGAAGGACAGGAGCUGAGAGGUCGUCUCGAAAAACUGGUGGCCCUUCUGAAUUCAAAGACAAGCAAAGACAAACAAGAGAGAGUGUUCUAGAGUGCCUUAGGACUGUCAGCCAGAUAUCACGACUGCUUUACAGCGUGGAAAGUCCCUUUACUCAUGUUGAAAUCUGUCUGGUGGAUACAAAUCAAUGUCAUAAUGCUCAUAAGAGUCUAGAAGAUCAGAAAUACAUUUCCAGGGAGGAAAAAGUAAGGUUGGUGGAUUUGAGUGACGAUGACACAGGACGUCUAGCUGCUUCAUUUCAAAAUCAGGAAGACCGUGAAAACACUUCCCGUACCCUUCAGUAUCUGACUGAGAGUUCAGAAGGAAAUGAAAAUAAUGAAUGUAUUACACAGAACGUUCCUGAUAUUACCACUGUUAAGGCAAGCACAACCAACCACGAGGAAGAAUCCAUUCUCAGAGAAGACGAGAUAUCAGAGGGGAAACGUCUAUUUGAAGACGAUAGAAAGUCAAGACUUUCUUCCAUAGCUGACCUGAAAGAAAUCCUGAGAAAAAAGCAACUGAAGCCUAAAAGAGGUGAUUCAAUUCACUCCAACAAGGCAGACGCAAAUGAUGUUGCAAAGUUGCAGUCAAACCAUAUGCAAAAUGGUAGCAACUGUGGUAAUAGAGAGGCUCUGUAUCAAAACCCAGAGGCCCAGGCACUAAGCCAAAAACGCACUUCUAGGAAUGUCAUUUCUCAUAAAAGUGGCCUCAGAACUAGUUCACUUGAAAGCAAGACAGCUAGGGAAGAAGACAAUCUCUUGAGAAUGCAUCUUUCACCCCAAUAUCCAGCCCCUAACAACGUAAGAGAGCGAAAUUAUUUAGAAACUCAACCUAAAUGUGAGCUUGCAGAGGACGAAAGCAGCCGCCUGCCUAAAAUAAUGCGGGAAAAAGAGGCCACUUUCGCAGCCUCCGAUAAAUGCGACGCCUCUGGCCUUUUGGAAAGAAAGGCGUACGCUAAAAACGUAGAGACAGGGGCAAAUGGUGAUCAUUGUAGUACAAAUAACGCCAUUAAAAUCAACAGGGAGACCCCCUUACAUAACCAAGACGUACAGGACACCAUAGGAGUUGAUCAAGAAGGGCAAAGGCAAACGAAGCCCGGCGUCGAUAAAUUUAAGAGUAGAAAACACCACAGUGUGGAAAGAAGUGAACGAAAUGACGUGGACGUUACGGGAAAUAGAACCAAUAUUCAGGAAAAGCAAGAAACUCCUUGUCCUGAUUAUGACGACAAGGCGACAUGGAAAACAUUUGGGUUACCUGCUGGAGAAGUUUUAGCAGAUGGAUCCAUGAACAUAGAUACCAGUAGAAGCCAAAAUAAUAUGGUGGAUCUUUUAAAAGAGACGCAUACUGGGGAUGGGACAAACCUAGAAGAGGAUAAUGGUAUGCACUCCAUGCAAAAAAGAGAACCAACCAAACACUCCAAGUCAAAAGCCACCAUCUCAAACUGCAAGGAAAUCACCACCACAUUCAUGUUUCAAGGGGGUGAUGUUGUUGCUGACGGCGAAGUCCACAAGAACCUUGGUGGUGAUGGAUCAGUACUCGCACAAAACUCUGACAAGGACAACCAUGUCUUUCUGUUUAUACCUAACCACGGGGAAGAAGAUGCUAUAGGAGUUGAUCGAGAGGGUCAAAGACAAACGAAGCUUAAUGUAAGUACAUUUAAAAUUAAAAAACGAGAACUUGAAGGUAGGGAACGAAGCGGGCUGGAAAUCAUAAGGAGUAAAACCAAUACAUCAGAAAGUCAAGGCACGUCUUGUUGCGAUCAUAACGAUAUGGCAACAGAGAGAACAUCUGGUCCACUAGGAGAAGAAGCUUUGUCGGAUGGAUCCAUGAACCGGGAAACCGCAAGAAGUCAAAAUGACGUGGUAGCUCUCCUAACAGAGACAGAUUUCGUGAACGGGCCCAAAUUAAAAGAGGAAAUUGGGACGCAAUCUUUGAACCAAGGCUCUAGAGCAUUAAAGCCAAUAAGUUCAUACGGUCAGAUAUAUUUUAAGUCACAAGCCACAACCUCAAACCGCCAUGAAACUAGUACUAGAUUAUUGUGUCAAGGGAGCGAUGUUGUUGCUGACGGCGAAAGCAAUGAAGAUGAUCUGAAUAACGUUGACAUUGCAGAUGGACCAGCACUCACACAAAAUCCGUACAAGGCAUUUAAUGCCGGCGAGAGGUUCACAGCCAACAUGAAGCACAAAAGUGUACCCUCAUGUAGCGAAAACGAGUCACAUACAGAUACAGAUGCGCUCUGCAAACACAGAUAUCCUCUUAAUAGCGAGACUGACCUCUUUCAAUCUCACUCGGGUGACGGAGGAGCAAGGCCCAAACAAAGAUCAACAGAUAACGCCAAAUGCCCCUUACCAUGGCCCGGCGGUACAAAUCCAAUUUCAGCUGACUGUGACUUCAAAAUAGAAAAUCGGGGCCUAGAUCCUGUUUUUAUGGCGCGCCACGUCAAAGAGAGUAGUCCAUUUCCUUCGUUUUAUAACGGGGGAAACUAUAAUCAUGCUUCAUUAGACGGUCCGUGGCAGGAAGAUUACGAACAGGAGUAUUCUUCAUCUAAUGCUCAUGACCAAGUCUUUAAAGGCAAAGGUCAGAUCUCACCCGAGAAGAAAAAGUUCAUUCCACACGAUAUAGUCCAUAAAUCAAAUAUGUGUGUUCCUGUAUAUAACGCAUCAGUAAACAAAAACUUUAGUUUUUAUCAUGUAACGCAACCAAACGGAAAUGAAAAAGAAAGCUGGCAUUUUCCAUCCUCAGAGUCGUGGGAAGACAGGGUGCUGCGAAGCCAAUGCUUUGCCGAGAGGACAAACAAGUCAAAUCGAACAUCGCUGCCAAAAUCUUUUGAUGCUGACCGUGAGAAACUCUUCAAUACGUGUGGAUCAGUAUGUGCUUACAACGACAUGGAUUCAAUGGCUAAUGAAUACUUCAGCAGUAUAGCUAAGGAUGAAUGUGCACAGUCACUACCAUUGAGUGAGAACGAGCAUUCAUCGACAGAACAUUCGCUGGCCUCUAGUUUUAGAUGUCUUCAAGAUAUAAUGGCCAAGACUAUUCGGCUUGUUGUCUCAAAUGCUACGGGCGCGGGGAAAACUCAACCCGCAAACCAGGCGGUCGAAAAGACAGGCGUACAGGAAGAAACGGGCGAUACGGGAGAAGGGGAACCAGCCUUAACACAACAAGUUAACGAGACGAACACUCAAGUAGAAUCUACCCCAUCAAAUAAAACGACAAUAGAAGCCAAGCGACAACCUGUCGCAACACCUGUACAAGAGAGUCCACGCCCUGUUUGCAGUCAUUAUCAACGCCGAUGCUUGGUUCGGUUUCCCUGCUGUGGAAAGUUCUUCCCAUGCCACCGCUGUCACAACGAGUCAGAUUGUAGUGAGGAUCAGGCGAGAGCAAUUAAUGCCACACACAUACGGUGCACUAUCUGCUAUCACGAGCAAGAGAUCGAUGAAAAUGGUCAGAGAUGUGGCGGCUGCAAUGCAAUCAUGUCUGAAUAUUUCUGCCCAACAUGUCGCCAUUAUACUUCCGUGGAUAAAAAUCCCUUCCACUGCGAAAAAUGCGGUAUCUGUAGAAUCCAUAGAGACAGAUCCUUCCACUGUAAUGUUUGUAAUGUAUGCCUGGACAAACGUCUUGAAGGAAAACAUAAAUGCAGACCUGAUUCUGGACACGAUGAAUGUUGUAUAUGUCUGGAGGACGCCUUCAGUGGUUGUCAAAUUCUCCCAUGCUCUCACAAGGUUCACAAAGAUUGUGCAAUUGCAAUGAUACAAAAUGGCGUCCGAAAGUGCCCAAUAUGCCGACAUCCCUUGUUCGGUCAACUUCAAACUAGUUCUCAAAAUUAACUCAAACAACUGCAAAAUUUCAAUAUGAUGCUAAUUUUACCUCUCACUUUUGCAGAAACAUUUUACUCUUAAUCAAUUUGUGACUGGCUUUUCUUACUAGCUCGUCCAAACCCAGAAAAUCCCACUGUAUUAGCUACGGGUGAAAUUCUGUUAUAACUACAGUCGCGACCAUUUUAACUCUCUGUUUUUCUUUUUUGUGUUUUGUUUUCAAAUUUAAUGGCUGUUAACAACUUCACCUGUCAGCACCGGAAAGACAUGAUUUUUUAACUUAGAAAUUAAGGUAUUUUAGGAUAUGAGAAAAACUGAGAAAAAUUGGAGUAGAAACCAACAAAAAACAUAGGCAAACUCAAAAGUGAAACUUAAUACGCGCACACAAAAAAAGAAAAAGAAAGGCAACCAGUCAAGCCACUAAACAAAUGAAAGUGACACAACAACAUCCCAAGAGAAAGACCGAGAAAACAGACAAACAAACAAUGUACAAACAAACAUAUUUACAAGAAAAGGAUACCAAAAACCAAGGCAGCAGAACAAACUCUUCACUUUGCAUAGGUUUUCCUUGUUAUAAUUAACUCAUGUAAUAAUAAAUGCUAUCGGUUUUGAGUAAACGAUCGGAUCAUCAAAACUAUGGAAUCUCCUACACUGAAUGCGAGAGAAGGCACCCGCCGAUACCCGUAAUGGAUGCAAUCACUCGACGCAAGCUGUAGGAAUAGCUUCUGGAUCUUUGGAAAUUUCUCUGUUGUUCAGCUCUGAAAUUAUACUAAAACAAUUACUCGCCUCAGGUUCGGUGAAUAUUGUCGAAUAAUCCCCUCUACUUCUUCUCGGGGGAUUAUUAGGCGAUAUUCACCUCGCCUUCGGCGAAUAAUAGUCCAUUUUACAGUUGUGUGCUUGGUUGCCAAGCCUUUGAAUGGGA
rnacentral:misc_RNA from 1 species